CAGCCAAUUGACACACUUGAUGUAAUUAUUUAGGCUUGCUCCAGCUUUCCCCAGUCAGGUGUGAGGGGGAAAGCUGGAGACAAAGGAGCUACAGAUCUGAAAAGAUCCAGUGAGUUUGGAGCCCUGAAGCUGCCAUGCUCUCAACUGUUAAUGGAAUUGGCCAGGUGAUCCCUUUUUAGGGUAAAAUAUGGCGAGCUUCUGAAAACUAGCUGGAGCCAGGAGAGCCCUAAGAAUCACUUCAUCCUGGUCUGUAUCAGUUCCCCCUCCAUCUCACCACUCAGGCACACACUCCAUUAUUCAUCUCUUUAUCCGAAAGAACUUGCGCUGGGACAUUGUCAACUUAAAUAUCUGGAUAAUC